rnacentral:rRNA from 1 species
GAUGAACGCUGGCGGCGUGCCUAAUACAUGCAAGUCGAGCGAACGGACGAGAAGCUUGCUUCUCUGAUGUUAGCGGCGGACGGGUGAGUAACACGUGGAUAACCUACCUAUAAGACUGGGAUAACUUCGGGAAACCGGAGCUAAUACCGGAUAAUAUUUUGAACCGCAUGGUUCAAAAGUGAAAGACGGUCUUGCUGUCACUUAUAGAUGGAUCCGCGCUGCAUUAGCUAGUUGGUAAGGUAACGGCUUACCAAGGCAACGAUGCAUAGCCGACCUGAGAGGGUGAUCGGCCACACUGGAACUGAGACACGGUCCAGACUCCUACGGGAGGCAGCAGUAGGGAAUCUUCCGCAAUGGGCGAAAGCCUGACGGAGCAACGCCGCGUGAGUGAUGAAGGUCUUCGGAUCGUAAAACUCUGUUAUUAGGGAAGAACAUAUGUGUAAGUAACUGUGCACAUCUUGACGGUACCUAAUCAGAAAGCCACGGCUAACUACGUGCCAGCAGCCGCGGUAAUACGUAGGUGGCAAGCGUUAUCCGGAAUUAUUGGGCGUAAAGCGCGCGUAGGCGGUUUUUUAAGUCUGAUGUGAAAGCCCACGGCUCAACCGUGGAGGGUCAUUGGAAACUGGAAAACUUGAGUGCAGAAGAGGAAAGUGGAAUUCCAUGUGUAGCGGUGAAAUGCGCAGAGAUAUGGAGGAGCACCAGUGGCGAAGGCGACUUUCUGGUCUGUAACUGACGCUGAUGUGCGAAAGCGUGGGGAUCAAACAGGAUUAGAUACCCUGGUAGUCCACGCCGUAAACGAUGAGUGCUAAGUGUUAGGGGGUUUCCGCCCCUUAGUGCUGCAGCUAACGCAUUAAGCACUCCGCCUGGGGAGUACAACCGCAAGGUUGAAACUCAAAGGAAUUGACGGGGACCCGCACAAGCGGUGGAGCAUGUGGUUUAAUUCGAAGCAACGCGAAGAACCUUACCAAAUCUUGACAUCCUUUGACAACUCUAGAGAUAGAGCCUUCCCCUUCGGGGGACAAAGUGACAGGUGGUGCAUGGUUGUCGUCAGCUCGUGUCGUGAGAUGUUGGGUUAAGUCCCGCAACGAGCGCAACCCUUAAGCUUAGUUGCCAUCAUUAAGUUGGGCACUCUAAGUUGACUGCCGGUGACAAACCGGAGGAAGGUGGGGAUGACGUCAAAUCAUCAUGCCCCUUAUGAUUUGGGCUACACACGUGCUACAAUGGACAAUACAAAGGGCAGCGAAACCGCGAGGUCAAGCAAAUCCCAUAAAGUUGUUCUCAGUUCGGAUUGUAGUCUGCAACUCGACUACAUGAAGCUGGAAUCGCUAGUAAUCGUAGAUCAGCAUGCUACGGUGAAUACGUUCCCGGGUCU